AGAUUAAGUUAUUAAGGGCGCACGGUGGAUGCCUUGGCACUAGAAGCCGAUGAAGGACGUUACUAACGACGAUAUGCUUUGGGGAGCUGUAAGUAAGCUUUGAUCCAGAGAUUUCCGAAUGGGGAAACCCAGCAUGAGUUAUGUCAUGUUAUCGAUAUGUGAAUACAUAGCAUAUUAGAAGGCACACCCGGAGAACUGAAACAUCUUAGUACCCGGAGGAAGAGAAAGAAAAUUCGAUUCCCUUAGUAGCGGCGAGCGAAACGGGAAGAGCCCAAACCAACAAGCUUGCUUGUUGGGGUUGUAGGACACUCUAUACGGAGUUACAAAGGACGACAUUAGACGAAUCAUCUGGAAAGAUGAAUCAAAGAAGGUAAUAAUCCUGUAGUCGAAAAUGUUGUCUCUCUUGAGUGGAUCCUGAGUACGACGGAGCACGUGAAAUUCCGUCGGAAUCUGGGAGGACCAUCUCCUAAGGCUAAAUACUCUCUAGUGACCGAUAGUGAACCAGUACCGUGAGGGAAAGGUGAAAAGCACCCCGGAAGGGGAGUGAAAUAGAACCUGAAACCGUGUGCUUACAAGUAGUCAGAGCCCGUUAAUGGGUGAUGGCGUGCCUUUUGUAGAAUGAACCGGCGAGUUACGAUUUGAUGCAAGGUUAAGCAGUAAAUGUGGAGCCGUAGCGAAAGCGAGUCUGAAUAGGGCGUUUAGUAUUUGGUCGUAGACCCGAAACCAGGUGAUCUACCCUUGGUCAGGUUGAAGUUCAGGUAACACUGAAUGGAGGACCGAACCGACUUACGUUGAAAAGUGAGCGGAUGAACUGAGGGUAGCGGAGAAAUUCCAAUCGAACCUGGAGAUAGCUGGUUCUCUCCGAAAUAGCUUUAGGGCUAGCCUCAAGUGAUGAUUAUUGGAGGUAGAGCACUGUUUGGACGAGGGGCCCCUCUCGGGUUACCGAAUUCAGACAAACUCCGAAUGCCAAUUAAUUUAACUUGGGAGUCAGAACAUGGGUGAUAAGGUCCGUGUUCGAAAGGGAAACAGCCCAGACCACCAGCUAAGGUCCCAAAAUAUAUGUUAAGUGGAAAAGGAUGUGGCGUUGCCCAGACAACUAGGAUGUUGGCUUAGAAGCAGCCAUCAUUUAAAGAGUGCGUAAUAGCUCACUAGUCGAGUGACACUGCGCCGAAAAUGUACCGGGGCUAAACAUAUUACCGAAGCUGUGGAUUGUCCUUUGGACAAUGGUAGGAGAGCGUUCUAAGGGCGUUGAAGCAUGAUCGUAAGGACAUGUGGAGCGCUUAGAAGUGAGAAUGCCGGUGUGAGUAGCGAAAGACGGGUGAGAAUCCCGUCCACCGAUUGACUAAGGUUUCCAGAGGAAGGCUCGUCCGCUCUGGGUUAGUCGGGUCCUAAGCUGAGGCCGACAGGCGUAGGCGAUGGAUAACAGGUUGAUAUUCCUGUACCACCUAUAAUCGUUUUAAUCGAUGGGGGGACGCAGUAGGAUAGGCGAAGCGUGCGAUUGGAUUGCACGUCUAAGCAGUAAGGCUGAGUAUUAGGCAAAUCCGGUACUCGUUAAGGCUGAGCUGUGAUGGGGAGAAGACAUUGAGUCUUCGAGUCGUUGAUUUCACACUGCCGAGAAAAGCCUCUAGAUAGAAAAUAGGUGCCCGUACCGCAAACCGACACAGGUAGUCAAGAUGAGAAUUCUAAGGUGAGCGAGCGAACUCUCGUUAAGGAACUCGGCAAAAUGACCCCGUAACUUCGGGAGAAGGGGUGCUCUUUAGGGUUAACGCCCAGAAGAGCCGCAGUGAAUAGGCCCAAGCGACUGUUUAUCAAAAACACAGGUCUCUGCUAAACCGUAAGGUGAUGUAUAGGGGCUGACGCCUGCCCGGUGCUGGAAGGUUAAGAGGAGUGGUUAGCUUCUGCGAAGCUACGAAUCGAAGCCCCAGUAAACGGCGGCCGUAACUAUAACGGUCCUAAGGUAGCGAAAUUCCUUGUCGGGUAAGUUCCGACCCGCACGAAAGGCGUAACGAUUUGGGCACUGUCUCAACGAGAGACUCGGUGAAAUCAUAGUACCUGUGAAGAUGCAGGUUACCCGCGACAGGACGGAAAGACCCCGUGGAGCUUUACUGUAGCCUGAUAUUGAAAUUCGGCACAGCUUGUACAGGAUAGGUAGGAGCCUUUGAAACGUGAGCGCUAGCUUACGUGGAGGCGCUGGUGGGAUACUACCCUAGCUGUGUUGGCUUUCUAACCCGCACCACUUAUCGUGGUGGGAGACAGUGUCAGGCGGGCAGUUUGACUGGGGCGGUCGCCUCCUAAAAGGUAACGGAGGCGCUCAAAGGUUCCCUCAGAAUGGUUGGAAAUCAUUCAUAGAGUGUAAAGGCAUAAGGGAGCUUGACUGCGAGACCUACAAGUCGAGCAGGGUCGAAAGACGGACUUAGUGAUCCGGUGGUUCCGCAUGGAAGGGCCAUCGCUCAACGGAUAAAAGCUACCCCGGGGAUAACAGGCUUAUCUCCCCCAAGAGUUCACAUCGACGGGGAGGUUUGGCACCUCGAUGUCGGCUCAUCGCAUCCUGGGGCUGUAGUCGGUCCCAAGGGUUGGGCUGUUCGCCCAUUAAAGCGGUACGCGAGCUGGGUUCAGAACGUCGUGAGACAGUUCGGUCCCUAUCCGUCGUGGGCGUAGGAAAUUUGAGAGGAGCUGUCCUUAGUACGAGAGGACCGGGAUGGACAUACCUCUGGUGUACCAGUUGUCGUGCCAACGGCAUAGCUGGGUAGCUAUGUGUGGACGGGAUAAGUGCUGAAAGCAUCUAAGCAUGAAGCCCCCCUCAAGAUGAGAUUUCCCAACUUCGGUUAUAAGAUCCCUCAAAGAUGAUGAGGUUAAUAGGUUCGAGGUGGAAGCAUGGUGACAUGUGGAGCUGACGAAUACUAAUCGAUCGAAGACUUAAUCAAA
rnacentral:rRNA from 1 species